AGAGUUUGAUCCUGGCUCAGGAUGAACGCUAGCGGGAGGCUUAACACAUGCAAGUCGAGGGGUAAGGUAGCAAUAUCUGAGACCGGCGCACGGGUGAGUAACGCGUAUGCAACCUGCCCUUUACAGGGGGAUAGCCCGUCGAAAGGCGGAUUAAUACCCCAUAAUAUGGUACCAUCGCAUGAUGGAACCAUAAAAGCUUCGGCGGUAAAGGAUGGGCAUGCGUGACAUUAGCUGGUUGGUAGGGUAACGGCCUACCAAGGCUACGAUGUCUAGGGGUUCUGAGAGGAAGGUCCCCCACACUGGUACUGAGACACGGACCAGACUCCUACGGGAGGCAGCAGUGAGGAAUAUUGGUCAAUGGGCGCGAGCCUGAACCAGCCAUCCCGCGUGCAGGAAGACGGCCCUAUGGGUUGUAAACUGCUUUUGUGCAGGAAGAAUGUGCCCAUCGUGAUGGGUAGUGACGGUACUGCAUGAAUAAGCACCGGCUAACUCCGUGCCAGCAGCCGCGGUAAUACGGAGGAUGCAAGCGUUAUCCGGAUUCAUUGGGUUUAAAGGGUGCGCAGGCGGAAUGAUAAGUCAGUGGUGAAAUCCUACAGCUCAACUGUAGAACUGCCAUUGAUACUGUUGUUCUUGAGUACAUUUGUAGUGGGCGGAAUGUGUCAUGUAGCGGUGAAAUGCUUAGAGAUGACACAGAACACCGAUCGCGAAGGCAGCUCACUAAACUGUAACUGACGCUCAGGCACGAAAGCGUGGGGAUCAAACAGGAUUAGAUACCCUGGUAGUCC
rnacentral:rRNA from 1 species